AUUGAACGCUGGCGGCAUGCUUUACACAUGCAAGUCGAACGGCAGCACGGACUUCGGUCUGGUGGCGAGUGGCGAACGGGUGAGUAAUACAUCGGAACGUACCCAGUAAUGGGGGAUAACUAGUCGAAAGAUUAGCUAAUACCGCAUACGCCCCACGGGGGAAAGAGGGGGAUCGCAAGACCGCUUGUUAUUGGAGCGGCCGAUGGCUGAUUAGCUAGUUGGUGGGGUAAAGGCCUACCAAGGCGACGAUCAGUAGCGGGUCUUAGAGGACGAUCCGCCACACUGGAACUGAGACACGGUCCAGACUCCUACGGGAGGCAGCAGUGGGGAAUCUUGGACAAUGGGCGAAAGCCUGAUCCAGCAAUGCCGCGUGCGUGAAGAAGGCCUUCGGGUUGUAAAGCGCUUUUGUCUGGGAGCAAAUCCUUGUGGCUAAUACCCACCGGGGAUGAGAGUACCAGAAGAAUAAGGACCGGCUAACUACGUGCCAGCCGCCGCGGUAA
rnacentral:rRNA from 1 species